UACGGGGGGGGUAAGCGUUGUUCGGAAUUACUGGGCGUAAAGGGCUCGUAGGCGGCCAACUAAGUCACACGUGAAAUCCCUCAGCUUAACUGGGGAACUGCGUGUGAUACUGGAUGGCUUGGAUUUGGGAGAGGGAUGCGGAAUUCCAGGUGUAGCGGUGAAAUGCGUAGAUAUCUGGGGGAACACCGGUGGCGAAGGCGGCAUCCUGGACAGAUACCGACGCUGAGGCACGAAAGCUAGGGGAGCAAACAGG
rnacentral:rRNA from 1 species